rnacentral:sRNA from 1 species
GCUGGGUGUGGUAAGGCACACCUGUAAUCCCAGCUACUAGGGAGACUGAGCAGAAGGAUCUCAAGUUUGAGGCCAGCCUGGGCAACCUGGGGAGAUUGUGUCCCAAAAUUACACAAUAAAAGAACUGAGGAUAUAGCUCAGAAUAUAGUGCUUUCUUGAGAUCCUGAGUUCAAU